AUCUUGCACAAUGGGCGAAAGCCUGAUGCAGCGACGCCGCGUGGGUGAGGAAGUUCUUCGGAAUGUAAAGCCCUUUUACCGGGGACGAUUAAUGACGGUACCCGGUGAAUAAGCCCCGGCUAACUACGUGCCAGCAGCCGCGGUAAGACGGAGGGUGCUAGCGUUGUUCGGAAUGACUGGGCGUAAAGGGCGCGUAGGCGGCCGCUUGCGUCGGAUGUGAAAGCCCGGGGCUCAACCCCGGAACGGCAUCCGAUACGGGGCGGCUCGAGACCGAGAGAGGUGAGUGGAAUACCCAGUGUAGAGGUGAAAUUCGUAGAUAUUGGGUGGAACACCGGUGGCGAAAGCGGCUCACUGGCUCGGUUCUGACGCUGAGGCGCGAAAGCGUGGGGAGCAAAC
rnacentral:rRNA from 1 species